AGACAAAGAAAUCAUAUUUAUGUAAAAAAAAAAAAAUCAACUCAUUCUUUCUCUCACGCAAGCACCAUCGGCCAACACCACAACUCUGUCGUCCGGCCACCGUUUUGGACGGUCAACCUACCGAGAAGCUUCUCCUGACCCCCACGAGCAUAACCCAAGCAACCUCGCCUCAAACCGUCACCCGUAGACACCGGAAUCACGCUUGGAAGAUUAUGGCCACCGUGAAGAAAAAGCUCCGAUUUGGCCAACUCCGGCCACAGCUUAGCAUGCCGUCACCACCAUUCACCUCACCGGACUGAGGAGCACCUAGCCCAACCAACUUCCGGCCAAAACAACCCCCUGAUGCCGGAGAUUCGAGUUUGACCCGAAAUGGGUCAAUUUGACCCGGUUUUGACCCGGCUGGAAUUUCAUUUUCCGGCGACCCCGAAGUUCUAUUCUAACUUGUUUCGUUGUUCUGAACGUGUUGGCGAUGUUUUUGGAUCCAUACGGAUAGCGUUGGAGCAUCUUGGCAAUUUCGUCGUAAAUACGCUUAUACAUAUGAUAUACGUGCUGGUGAUCGAGGAGAUUGGACUUGAUACCGUAGACGGUUAAUUAUUGGAUGCACUGCUAUCGAGGCGAGACAGGAUCUAAUGCACAGGCUGUGGAUCAGUAGUGGGAUGCGUGACGGAGGUGGCCUGGACUCUUGUGUGCUCAUUUGUGUUUAUGUGGUACAUGUGUGUGGUUAUAUAUAUUUGGAUGUAUAUGUAUGACUUGUUGUUUGCAUGCCACAGUUGUGGGAGUAGGUUAUUGUACUUGGAGUUAUGCUUAUGUUUUGGACGAGGAUUGUAUUUGGUUAGUCGGGAGUGAGGUCCCGUGACUACUGUGUGACUGAUGACGAUGAUUAUUUGUGUUUGAUGGUGGACCCUGAGGGUCGGUUGACUUAAAUGGUAUUAGAAGUAUUUUCUUUGCUUGGGUACUGUUUACAGGU